rnacentral:tRNA from 1 species
GGCUUCGUGGUGUAGCGGUCAGCACGCUCGACGAGCAACCGAGAGGUCCGUGGUUCGAUUCCCGGCGAGGGCA